rnacentral:tRNA from 1 species
GGCAGUGUAGCCUAAUGGUUAAGGGUCUGAGCUUGUAACCUAAAAGAUCCCAGGUUCGAUUCCUGAGUAGGUACACUGCCG